CGAGAGGGGGCGAGCGUUGUUCGGAAUUACUGGGCGUAAAGGGCGCGUAGGCGGCCUUCUAAGUCGAACGUGAAAUCCCCAGGCUCAACCUGGGAACUGCGUCCGAUACUGGGAGGCUUGAAUCCGGGAGAGGGAUGUGGAAUUCCAGGUGUAGCGGUGAAAUGCGUAGAUAUCUGGAGGAACACCGGUGGCGAAGGCGGCAUCCUGGACCGGUAUUGACGCUGAGGCGCGAAAGCUAGGGGAGCAAACGGGAUUAGAUACCCCGGUAGUCCUAGCCCUAAACGAUGAAUGCUUGGUGUGGCGGGUAUCGAUCCCUGCCGUGCCGAAGCUAACGCAUUAAGCAUUCCGCCUGGGGGAGUACGGUCGCAAGGCUG
rnacentral:rRNA from 1 species